GAUGAACGCUGGCGGCGUGCCUAAUACAUGCAAGUCGAGCGAACGGACGAGAAGCUUGCUUCUCUGAUGUUAGCGGCGGACGGGUGAGUAACACGUGGAUAACCUACCUAUAAGACUGGGAUAACUUCGGGAAACCGGAGCUAAUACCGGAUAAUAUUUUGAACCGCAUGGUUCAAAAGUGAAAGACGGUCUUGCGGUCACUUAUAGAUGGAUCCGCGCUGCAUUAGCUAGUUGGUAAGGUAACGGCUUACCAAGGCAACGAUGCAUAGCCGACCUGAGAGGAUGAUCGGCCACACUGGAACUGAGACACGGUCCAGACUCCUACGGGAGGCAGCAGUAGGGAAUCUUCCGCAAUGGGCGAAAGCCUGACGGAGCAACGCCGCGUGAGUGAUGAAGGUCUUCGGAUCGUAAAACUCUGUUAUUAGGGAAGAACAUAUGUGUAAGUAACUGUGCACAUCUUGACGGUACCUAAUCAGAAAGCCACGGCUAACUACGUG
rnacentral:rRNA from 1 species